GUCAUAUAUCCAUUUCAAUUCGUUUUUUAAAAUUUGGGUAUCAUUACAAAAUGUAUUUAUAACUAUAGUACAAUACAACCCAUUAUCCGAAAUACUAUUAAAAUAAGUGUUCGCACUUAUUGAAAACGUUAAAAAAUAUGCAGGCGCAGGUAUGACUGACACAGCUUGGUUCUCAAAAUAAUCUUCGCUUGUUUGGAUUGUUAUUUAAUUGAUGUAUAACCCAUAGAUUGCUCUACUCAAAGAAAUAUUUAAUAUUGUGAUGUUAAAGGUUUCAAAAGUGCAUAAUUAUUGUAGGAUUAGAGUUGAAUUUAGGUUCAUUUGAUUUUGAAGGGAAACGGUACUAUUUAUUCUGCCAUUGGCGACAAUGUUAACAUUUUCUAAAUUUACCACUUUUUAAGAUAAAAACCUGGAUCAAACAGUUAUAUGUUGUGUUAGUACUUUAUUACUCUGUUUUAAAAAUUAAAGCCAAAUAGUAUCAUGACCAACUUCCAACGGAGCUUGUUUAUGUUAUCCAUGCCCACCGUCAUUUUGCACCAGAUUUAUGAAAUUUUGCAAGUCUUUUCGAAUAAUUCUCUAGAAAAUAUUUCAAUAGGUUUUAAAAUUUAUAUUGUAAAUAUACACACUGCAGUUAUUCAUAGAUAAAUAAAAUAUAUUGUACCCUUACAUCCAAUCACAGCGCUC
rnacentral:lncRNA from 1 species